UGGAACCAGAACCAGAAUGAGUGGCCUUCA
rnacentral:piRNA from 1 species